AUGCGGAGGGUGCAAGCGUUAUUCGGAAUCACUGGGCGUAAAGGACGCGUAGGCGGGUUGGCAAGUCAGAUGUGAAAUCCUACAGCUUAACUGUAGAACUGCAUUUGAAACUGCUAACCUAGAGUAUGGGAGGGGGAGAUGGAAUUAGUGGUGUAGGGGUAAAAUCCGUAGAUAUCACUAGGAAUACCGAAAGCGAAGGCGAUCUCCUGGAACAUAACUGACGCUAAGGCGUGAAAGCGUGGGGAGCAAACAGGAUUAGAAACCCCAGUAGUCC
rnacentral:rRNA from 1 species